rnacentral:scRNA from 1 species
UGAAUGAAGCGCAAUACCUUGUCGAUAUGGAC